GCACAAGCGGUGGAGCAUGUGGAUUAAUUCGAUGCAACGCGAAGAACCUUACCUGGGUUUGACAUGCACAGGACGUGCCUAGAGAUAGGUAUUCCCUUGUGGCCUGUGUGCAGGUGGUGCAUGGCUGUCGUCAGCUCGUGUCGUGAGAUGUUGGGUUAAGUCCCGCAACGAGCGCAACCCUUGUCUCAUGUUGCCAGCGCGUUAUGGCGGGGACUCGUGAGAGACUGCCGGGGUCAACUCGGAGGAAGGUGGGGAUGACGUCAAGUCAUCAUGCCCCUUAUGUCCAGGGCUUCACACAUGCUACAAUGGCCGGUACAAAGGGCUGCGAUGCCGUGAGGUGGAGCGAAUCCUUGUAAAGCCGGUCUCAGUUCGGAUCGGGGUCUGCAACUCGACCCCGUGAAGUCGGAGUCGCUAGUAAUCGCAGAUCAGCAACGCUGCGGUGAAUACGUUCCCGGGC
rnacentral:rRNA from 1 species